rnacentral:tRNA from 1 species
GGAAGCAUAGCUAAGCAGUAGAGCAUGUGCUUAGCAUGUGCACAAAUCCUGGGUUCAAUCCUCAGCACCUCCC